AUGCGCCGGGCAAUGGAUGCCCAGGAGGUUCGGCUCCUCCUCGACGUCCUCCUCGCACUCCUCCUCGUGUUCUUCCUCCCACUCCUCCGGCUCUCCGGCGCUGCUCGGCGUCAAGGCCGAGCCCACAGCGGAGACGCCGCUCGGCCGACGCACUCGCAGCGCCGGCAUCGUCAUCAACGAGGGCGGUCGGCGCGCCUCCUCGUCGGCUCCUCCGCGCUCGUCAAGCCAAAGACGGAGCCAGGGCUCGCGCCGGUGAAAACGGAGCCGGGGCUCCCCGCCGUGAAGAUGGAGCACGGCGACGGGGAGCUCGACGAUGAUGCGGCCCUGAAAUGGGCGCGCGAGGACUUCCUGAGGAUGGAGAGGGAGCGCCAGUGCGCCGCCCUGCGGUGCUUCGAGCAGCGCCGCCGGGGCCGCGACGAAGGAGGAGUCGUCGUCCUCGAAGACAGCGACGACGACGACGCGCCACCGCCGCCGCCACCAGUCCGCCAUGGCAACACCGGGCAGGGGUCCAGCAGGGACCGCCGCCUCAAGGAGGAGAAGGCCGACGACGACGAAGGUGGCGAGGAUGGCGGCGACUACUCCGCGUUCAGCGUGUAG
rnacentral:rRNA from 1 species